AGUAAACGCUGGCGGUAGGCCUAACACAUGCAAGUCGAACGGCAGCACAGUAAGAGCUUGCUCUUACGGGUGGCGAGUGGCGGACGGGUGAGGAAUACAUCGGAAUCUACUUUUUCGUGGGGGAUAACGUAGGGAAACUUACGCUAAUACCGCAUACGACCUACGGGUGAAAGCAGGGGAUCUUCGGACCUUGCGCGAUUGAAUGAGUCGAUGUCGGAUUAGCUAGUUGGCGGGGUAAAGGCCCACCAAGGCGACGAUCCGUAGCUGGUCUGAGAGGAUGAUCAGCCACACUGGAACUGAGACACGGUCCAGACUCCUACGGGAGGCAGCAGUGGGGAAUAUUGGACAAUGGGCGCAAGCCUGAUCCAGCCAUACCGCGUGGGUGAAGAAGGCCUUCGGGUUGUAAAGCCCUUUUGUUGGGAAAGAAAAGCAGCAGGUUAAUACCCCGCUGUUCUGACGGUACCCAAAGAAUAAGCACCGGCUAACUUCGUG
rnacentral:rRNA from 1 species